GGGCUGGCUUUAGCCCAGAGGUUCCUUCGAGUCUGGCUUCCCAACCGCCCAGGCCGCGCCGAUUGGUCCGCGGGCGCUCUCCAGUCCUUAA
ensembl:misc_RNA Vault Vault RNA